ACGAGAGUAGGUCGCAGAGAAUAGGCCCAAGCAACUGUUUAUCAAAAACACAGGUUUCUGCUAAAGCGAAAGCUGAAGUAUAGGAGCUGACGCCUGCCCGGUGCUGGAAGGUUAAGGGGAAUGCUUAGCGUAAGCGAAGGCAUGAACUUAAGCCCCAGUAAACGGCGGCCGUAACUAUAACGGUCCUAAGGUAGCGAAAUUCCUUGUCGGGUAAGUUCCGACCCGCACGAAUGGCGUAAUGAUUUGGGCACUGUCUCAACA
rnacentral:rRNA from 1 species